AUUGAACGCUGGCGGCAGGCCUAACACAUGCAAGUCGAACGAGUGGCGGACGGGUGAGUAAUGGCUGGGAAACUGCCUGAUGGAGGGGGAUAACUACUGGAAACGGUUGCUAAUACCGCCUACUCUCGGAUGUGCCCAGAUGGGAUUAGCUAGUAGGUGGGGUAACGGGUAACCUAGGCGACGAUCCCUAGCUGGUCUGAGAGGCUGACCAGCCACACUGGAACGGAGACACGGCCCAUACUCCUACGGGAGGCAGCAGUGGGGAAUAUUGCACAAUGGGCGCAAGCCUGAUGCAGCCAUGCCGCGUGUAUGAAGAAGGCCUUCGGGUUGUAAAGUACUUUCAGCGGGGAGGCGUUACCCGCAGAAGAAGCACCGGCUAACUCCGUGCCAGCAGCCGCGGUAAUUC
rnacentral:rRNA from 1 species